rnacentral:sRNA from 1 species
CCGUGUCGACGAGCAGUGGGCAGAUGAAGUGCACGUGCGCGUCGAUCGCCCCCGCGGUGAGGAUGCGGCCGUUGCCGGAGAUCACUUCCGUCGAGGGACCGAUGACCAGUUCGGGGGCAACACCGUCCAUGGUGUCCGGGUUGCCGGCCUUACCGAUAGCGACGAUGCGCCCGUCGGUGAUCCCGACGUCGGCCUUGACGACGCCCCAGUGGUCGAGAACCACUGCGCCUGUGAUCACCAGGUCCGGUGCGCCGUCCGCCGAGGUCACGGCGGCCUGGCCCAUCGACUCG